GUAGCAAUAUUGUCUCAGUGGCGAACGGGUGAGUAACGCGUUGGUGACCUGCCCCGAAGAGGGGGAUAACAGUCCGAAAGGAUUGCUAAUACCCCAUGUGGUCAAGAGGAUUAGAUGCCUUAUGACUAAACGGAGAAAUUCGCUUCGGGAGGGGCCUGCGUCCCAUCAGCUAGUUGGUAGGGUAAUAGCCUACCAAGGCGAUGACGGGUAGGGGACCUGAGAGGGUGGCCCCCCACAAUGGAACUGAAACACGGUCCAUACACCUACGGGUGGCAGCAGUAGGGAAUAUUGGUAAUCUGGGAAACCGGGAACCAGCAACGCCGCGUGCGCGAUGAAGGCCUUCGGGUUGUAAAGCGCUUUUUGAGAGGAUGAGGAAGGACAGUACUCUUAGAAUAAGCCUCGGCUAACUACGUGCCAGCAGCCGCGGUAAAACGUAGGAGGCGAGCGUUAUCCGGAUUUACUGGGCAUAAAGCGUGUGUAGGCGGUUUGAUAAGUUGGAUGUGAAAGCUCCUGGCUUAACUGGGAGAGGUCGUUCAAAACUAUCAGACUUGAGAGUGGUAGAGGGAGGUGGAAUUCCGCAUGUAGUGGUGAAAUGCGUAGAUAUGCGGAGGAACACCAGUGGCGAAAGCGGCCUCCUGGCCCAUUUCUGACGCUCAGACACGAAAGCUAAGGUAGCAAACGGGAUUAGAGACCCCGGUAGUCUUAGCUGUAAACGAUGUGAACUUAGUGUCGGUGGGGUUAAAUCCAUCGGUACUGAAGCUAACGCGAUAAGUUCACCGCCUGAGGACUACGGCCGCAAGGUUAAAACUCAAAGGAAAUUGACGGGGCCCCGCACAACAGCGGAACCGGGUGGUUUAAUUCGAUGU
rnacentral:rRNA from 1 species